rnacentral:rRNA from 1 species
UGAGGAAUAUUGGUCAAUGGACGAGAGUCUGAACCAGCCAAGUAGCGUGAAGGAUGACUGCCCUAUGGGUUGUAAACUUCUUUUAUACGGGAAUAAAGUUUGCCACGUGUGGCAUUUUGUAUGUACCGUAUGAAUAAGGAUCGGCUAACUCCGUGCCAGCAGCCGCGGUAAUACGGAGGAUCCGAGCGUUAUCCGGAUUUAUUGGGUUUAAAGGGAGCGUAGGCGGAAGCUUAAGUCAGUUGUGAAAGUUUGCGGCUUAACCGUAAAAUUGCAGUUGAUACUGGGUUUCUUGAGUGCAGCAGAGGUAGGCGGAAUUCGUGGUGUAGCGGUGAAAUGCUUAGAUAUCACGAAGAACUCCGAUUGCGAAGGCAGCUUACUGGACUGUAACUGACGCUGAUGCUCGAAAGUGUGGGUAUCAAACAGGAUUAGAUACC